rnacentral:rRNA from 1 species
AGGGGUAUAGUUCUUCGGAAUUAGAGACCGGCGCACGGGUGCGUAACGCGUAUGCAAUCUACCUUUCACAGAGGGAUAGCCCAGAGAAAUUUGGAUUAAUACCUCAUAGUAUAACAUGACCGCAUGGUCGAGUUAUUAAAGUCACAACGGUGAAAGAUGAGCAUGCGUCCCAUUAGCUAGUUGGUAAGGUAACGGCUUACCAAGGCAACGAUGGGUAGGGGUCCUGAGAGGGAGAUCCCCCACACUGGUACUGAGACACGGACCAGACUCCUACGGGAGGCAGCAGUGAGGAAUAUUGGACAAUGGGCGCAAGCCUGAUCCAGCCAUGCCGCGUGCAGGAUGACGGUCCUAUGGAUUGUAAACUGCUUUUAUACGAGAAGAAACACCUCUACGUGUAGAGACUUGACGGUAUCGUAAGAAUAAGGAUCGGCUAACUCCGUGCCAGCAGCCGCGGUAAUACGGAGGAUCCAAGCGUUAUCCGGAAUCAUUGGGUUUAAAGGGUCCGUAGGCGGUCAGAUAAGUCAGUGGUGAAAGCCCAUCGCUCAACGGUGGAACGGCCAUUGAUACUGUCUGACUUGAAUUAUUAGGAAGUAACUAGAAUAUGUAGUGUAGCGGUGAAAUGCUUAGAGAUUACAUGGAAUACCAAUUGCGAAGGCAGGUUACUACUAAUUGAUUGACGCUGAUGGACGAAAGCGUGGGUAGCGAACAGGAUUAGAUACCCUGGUAGUCCACGCCGUAAACGAUGGAUACUAGCUGUUGGGAGCAAUCUCAGUGGCUAAGCGAAAGUGAUAAGUAUCCCACCUGGGGAGUACGU